AUCUGAAGAGUCAAUCUGGAAAAGCCAAAUUUACCAAUGAGAUAAGGAUAGCCACAGCAAAUAGAAAGUAGCUGUUUGUGGCAGCUUAAACUUAAAUUACAAUUGUACAGUUAUAAUUUCUUAACAUCCAUUCUCUUAAUUAACUUUGUGUUUAGUGUGUACACACCAUAGACAGUGUAUUCAUUUGAUCAUCAAGGUCUCCGUCAUCAGAGAAUUCAGCUUCAAAUGAAGGCCUUGAAUCAAUCUGGAAGCCAGUGGACAAAUAGAGGUUAGCCUAGCUGUAGGGAAUUACUUCGACAAAGUGUCGCAAGGAGGCGCUCUUAUUCCAGUUUUUCUUACCUCCUCGGUCAAACUUGCUGGCCGUUCCUCUGUUCUCAAUUGACUUCUGUACCAUCUUGUAGUUUUUGGCACAGGUAUAGAAAAAUCGGACAAAUAUCGUUUAUAAUUUCGUGACAUUUUGCAGUUAGACGACUGUCAAUGCAGACAAAUUUAAACUGAAAACAACAACUGACCAACUGAAAAAGACAACUGUAAACCCGCGAGCGUCUCACGCGCUGCGAAUGCGGUUGUAAACAUAUGCUACGCAUUCGCAGCGCGUGAGACGUCCGUUGAAUAUUUGACAGUCGAGUCGUGAGUUUUAGUCGUGAGUUUGCUACGGAAAAAUAAAGAAAAUGGCAAAAUAUGCACUAUUUGACUUUCCGGAUGAAGGGGCUGUGGACAUAGGCGAAAUAUCAUGGGUGGUAGGGGAAGUAAAUUUAAAAGAUCCUUUUGUAACGUAUAAAGUUAAUUGGCCAAACAAGGGAAGGAUUGUGUCAUGUCCAGGACGGAUUAUAUCAGUCAGUGACAACAGAGAGGAGUUGGUUUGCAAGAGGAGGCAUUAUCUUGUUGGUGGAGACAAACUGUCGAGCCCGGAGGAGAAAGGGAAGGGGAAAAGGAAGAAACUGAAGAAUGGUCGAUAUUCUGACGACGACGACGACGACAACGACGACGACGACGUAGUAUCGCUGGAUCCUCAGUUAAGUCAAUGUAAGAAGAAGAAGAAGAGAAAAAACACAGGUCUUAACGUCUUAAUGGAACUGGAAAAGCAAGGAUCAUGUCAGCUGAACUCAAUUAAUGAAACCAGGAAUGAAUGCCAUCACCCAUCUUGUGAGCUGUGGAGGGAGAACAACCACAGGCUACAGAAGGAAAAUGAUUCUCUCAAGGCAAAAAUAGCAACAUUGAAAUUGCUGCCAGACGUUUUGCAGAAGAUGGAGGAGUUUCUUCGCUCAGCACCAAGACCAACGACAACACCAAUACCAACACCAACACCAAGACCAAGACCAGAACCAACACUAUCACCAGCACCAACAGCAGUUCCACCAUCAGCAACAGAAGACCCAUCACCAGCACCAGGUCCAUCAUCAGCAUCAGCAACAGAGGCCC